GCGAACAAGCACGCGAUUAGCGAGAAUCUGGUUCGUUCUGCGCUGGCAACUAUGGCU
rnacentral:sRNA from 1 species